AUAAAUAUUUUACUUGGAUAAUUUCUUGUGUAGUUUAUGUUCUCAUCAGUUUACAAUCUCAUACAUCCUCUAUCCAAGAAUGAUACAGUAAAUGGAUUUUUGGAGCAGGGAGAUGGAAUAGGGGCUUGCUCUGUCUAACCCAAGCAUUACCCACAGUGUCUCCAGGAAUGGUGCACAAAAA
ensembl:snRNA U2 U2 spliceosomal RNA